rnacentral:lncRNA from 1 species
CAGACAAGCACCACCAUGGCCAGGAUAUUCACCCUUGGAAUCAAGACACCAUACUGUGAGUAUGCCAAGCAGCCACAUGGAAAGGCCAAUAGAGCUGUUCCAAGCACAGCCUCAGCUAGGUCCCAGGAGAUGACCAGCAUCAAGCACCAGACAAAGUACUUCAAUGACUGUCAUCUUGUCCACAUCCCCAGCUUUCACAAGACAGGUCUGCUGUGAUUUCAGCUUCUUCUAGUUGACUCUAUGAUGCUUGGCUUCUAGCAAAUCUGCUUCCUUCCUUUGUCCAUCCAUGCUGAUGGAUGGUAACAGCAAUAGCAAGAAGCUGGAUUUUUCUCAUCAUUCGUUACAGUAUGUGGAUUCUCAGAUAUUCCACCACCUAUUUAACAAAUUCCAUGUAUUACAUUAUUUAUGUUUUAAAUACUGUAAUAAGCCUAUCUUUUGUUUCCUUGGUUGGACCCUACCUGAGUACAAAUUUAGCUAAAGGAACCCAGAUACAUAGAGGACAAGGACAUUUGGAGUUCAUCCAUCAUGUGUGAACUUCUUAUCCAUCUCCUAACCAAGGUGGGAGGGAGCAUCAUUGAUCAACUGAAUUUUGGCUAGAUUGCUGCUCAUACAUGACUCAGCUGGCCCUUAGUAUUUUGAUUAUUUCUCCAAUUCUUUAGUGUGUAUUUGGAAUAAAUUCAUUCAACAUCUCUGAAUAUCUGGAGCUAGGUUUGUAUGAGAAGGCAAGUAGAAGUCUUGGCUCUCCCACCACUGCUCAAAAUAGUAAAUCUAAAAGAACAUUUCAUCCUAGUGGAAAAUUCCAGGGUGAUGCUGUCACAUUCCCCUUUAGAUUGACUGUUUGGCUCAUACUAAAGAGAGCUGCUAAUGUAAAUGUGGCCUUUUAACUUGAGUAAAUUAUAUAACUGCUGGACCCUGUUAUGCAUCUACUGAUCUAGCAAAUUAUUUGUAUUCCAAUAAAGAGAAUACUAGAAACAGUUGGCUUUUACCAAGUAGUGACAGCAAUAAGCCAUCUCCUUCUUAUCUAUAAUUUACAUAAAUGCCUCUGCUCUUUACCAUGUAGUCAUCCAAAAUCCAAAGAGUUCUUAAUCACAUUAGCAUAGCCACUGAACAUCAAAAUUACACACUAUUUCGAUGAUGUAAUGCUAAUAUGUUCUCAAAAGUAAGACACAGAAGAUAUUCAAAUGUCUUAGUAUGGCACGUGGGUGUCAGUUAUGGGACAUAAAUCUCAUGAAAUCGAAACUGUGGCCUAAAGAGUUAAACCAAUGACUACAUUCUUGGAUUUAUAGAAUAGCAUAUAAGAAAAGAAGCAAGGUCCUAAAAAGCUAAUAUUGAAACUGUAUCUCAAAGAGUAAGAACCUGGUAACUAACAAACAUUCUUGAGUUUACAGGAUAGCACAUAAGAAAAGAAACAACUUGCUGCAAUGCCGAAAUGCCCUCUGCUUGUGAGAUGAAAAACAACUGGCUGAAAUUGGUAGGAACUAAGAUGGCUGACUGGAGUUUGUGCAGAAGGAGCUUACUGACGUCACAGUCUGAAUUUCCACCACGUGUUUCACGCUAACUCCCCCUGAAUUUGCACAUGCAACCCAUGAGUUACCAUGAACUGCACAUGUCCAAGGACUUUCCAGACCUCCCCUUUCCUUCUACCAAUCACCUACUAAUCUCAGAAUCCAUCCCCUGAACCAUUUCUAAUAAAAAGACUGCAUUGAAG